rnacentral:sRNA from 1 species
UCGUAGCGAUUGGUUGCCUUGAAAAAGAC